CUACUACUCCCUCCGUCCGAAAAUACUUGUCCUAGAAAUAGUUGUAUCUAGACUUAUUUUAGUUAUAGAUACAUCUAUUUUAUCCAUUUUAAUUACAAGUAUUUUCGGACGGAGGGAGUACUAU
rfam:Triticum urartu cultivar G1812 contig45502, whole genome shotgun sequence.